ACUUUUCCAAUCUACUUCCUCUUUCAUAGCAAGUUACUUAAGAAAUAAAGAGAAUUAUUUAUUCUCUUCAUUUUAAUUUGUGUUUUUAUGUUUCAUUUUAACUGGCUCUUCUCCAUACUGCCUUUCAAUUUCCAGUAGGCCAGUGAUUGCAGUGAGGGUAGAUGCCAUUGAGGUAACAAAUCUUCCAAAAUGACUCAAGAGGAUUCAUUUUUAUUUCCAUUUCUAAUGCUGCCAAUGAUAAAAUGAUUAUUUUUCUUUGUUGACAUAUAAUGUAGUAAGUCUAUAUGCUAGAACAAAAACACUGUGAAAUUAUCAUCUAAUUCACACCCUACCCAAGUGAUUUCCUUUUUAUUAUUUUGAAUGUCAAGAAUUCCAUCCAUUUUAAAUAAAUUCUGUUACGAAAAAAAUCUUGAAAGUUUCACUUUGGGGUUGUAACACUUGAAAGCUGAGUGAUUGGAGCUCAGCAUGGAAACCCUUUAGCCUGCUAGAUGAACCCAAGAGAGGCAAGAAAAUAAACAGAAGCAAGAAGUAUUCAAUUUUAUCACUUCUCAGGAGGAGAGCCCUGCAGAUGCUAGAUUAGGUCAACAAAGAAGUACUUUGGUGCCUUCUGAUCAGUUAUACAUGAUAAAUGCACUACAAAAAAAAAAAAAAAAAAAGUUACCUUCUAAGUGGAUGAGGUAUUUGUUAUAUCAUGUUGUAAAGUCUCUUUCUUGCAAAUUCUCUUUUCUCCUUUGCCCUUCCUUCUCAGUCUUUUAUCAACAAUAAAACAUUUAUUUAAAAAAAAUAGAUUCAUAACUCUGUAAGCAUAAUUUACCAGUUCAAAAAUAGAGACUGAGUCAUGACAGGACCAUUCUCCUUUCUAAUUUUGUUUCCCUUUCGUUGCACUCCUCACCAUCUGGCACGUUAGGUAUAUGCUUGGCUCAUGUAAUUGUUUACUGUGUGUUUCUCCACACUAAAAGGGACCCUCACUGAGUGUAGGGUAUUUUAGACAUCUCAUAUAUGGCAGGUACUAGUAGACAUUCAAUAAAUAUUUGUUCAAUGGCUAAACAAAUGGAUAAAGCAGAUAAAGGAGGUGAUGUUACUGAAUGAGAAAGAAAACACACUCGUAUUCUCCAACAUUACACACACACACACAAAUGGCAAACAGCGUAUAUGACACCUAUCAUAUCUAAAUGAUUUAAUAAACAAAUUAUGUGGCAUAAUUAUUCAUUCUGUCAAAAAGUCAAAUUAAUGUCAUAAAACAUUUUUUAAGUUUUAAUAUAUAUAUGGAAUGAGAGUUUUUUGGGAAAUAUUUGAUUUGUAAAAUACUAAAUAUAUAAUAUGUAUAUAUAUAUGUAUAUAUAUAUGUACACAUGUAUAAUAGUACAAAGGUAAAACCAAUGCUAGGUACAUUUUAUUUAUUGAUGGAUUUUUGUCUUUACCUACUGUUAAAUACUUGGGGUUUUAAACUUACUGUUAAUAAAUACAAAGAAUCAGAUUUGAAAUGAUCCAAAACCAAAUUUUAAGUAUUUUUAUCUCAUUAUUAGAAAAAUUACCCUACUUGAAUAUUAAAAUGUAUGCUUUGAGAAAUAUAAACAAUUCAGCACAGAAUUUUUAAGUUAAAAAAAUUUAUGCGCCUUUCCACCCAGUAAAUUGAGUUUUUAAAAAAUAAUGAACAGAAAAUAAACCUUUUCCUAAAAAAAGAUUACGAAUCAAAUCAUGUAACUAAGAAGCACUAUGCACUCUCUGCAUGAUUAAUUUUAUGUCAAGCCCUAGAAGCUUUAAGAAUAAGGGGGACAGGAGCUUUCUGACUAUAAUAAAUCUUAGAUUACUCACUUCACAAUGCACACUUGAUUUAGUGGAAUAAAGGAAAUGAAUUGAGGGUGCCUGAAGAAGAACUGAUAUGAGAUGGGGCCUCUUGUGUUAUUCAAGGGCAAAAUCAAAAUCAAAAAAUUGAUUACCCAUCAUAUUGCCAGCAGUAGAAGAUAUCAAGUCAAAUCCUCCAGUUCCAGUAUACUUUUUUUAUGAGAAAAACCCAUUAUUUGGGUCUUAUGGAAUACAUAAGUACAAUUCUAUAACUUAGGUGAAAAUACCCUACAGAAACACAUUCAGAAUCAAACCUCAGUAAUUACUAUUCAGGCAUUUGAGUUUCCAGUCCUUGUUUAAUAUCAUUCUUCUAGUACUAACCUUAUCUGAGAUCUUCAGACUUAGUAGUGGGAAUUUGCAAGAUGAUUUAUUCAACACUUCUUGUUAAUCUAUGUGUGACAAUCUUAAAAAUUUCAACAAAUAUUUCUGGUUUUCUUCCUACACUUCACCCUGCUUCCAGAUACCUAGUAAGAGUGUACCCUCGGUCCUCUCAUGCUUGGGUGAAAAUUUGUGAUUAGUCUGGCUAAUGAGUCAAGAUAAAGGCCAAAGAUUUUCAUUGCUAAAAUGGCAUCCUCCCACGGUUCCUUUUUAUUUUGCAUGAUGCAUGGAAACUACUGUGAUGUUUCUGAGUGAUUACACUGAUUGUGAAUGUUCAAAACCCAGUCAUUAAAAUGUGAUGUAUAUGUAAUAUGAGGGAAGAAUAAAACUUUGUUAUUUUAACUAUGAAAGUUUCUAUGAUUGCUUAUUACACAACAUAGCUUAGAAUUUUGCAAGUAUAAAAAUUUCCAGAAUCAAUACAUAGAUGCUACCAUGCUAAUUCCCAGGCAUUUUCCUAAUUAUCCAUCUUCCCAUCAUGUCAUCCCAGAUGAAAUACAGACCAACUAGCUCAGUGAGGCCACAACCAGAUGCACUGACAUUGCUUAUUUCUUCACUCUCAAAAUCUAGAUAUUGAGAAAUUGGGGCAUGCUUUUACAUAUUCAUGGUGGUUGGGGUAGGAGGUAAGUUGGAAUCCUGCCUCCUUCUUUGGUAAAAAUAUAUUCCUCUUGAAACUAACAAAUCAAGCCCACUUUAUAUAGCUUGGUUAGGUUCUAGAAUUAAGGUUUACUGCUGAUUAAGUAGGCAUGUUAUAGGUUGUCCUAACCUAUCAUUUAUAAUAUUAUUUCUGUGGGAAAAUAUAUUUCAAGUUCCGAACAACUGAUACACAAAUUAACUUCUGGAACACUACCCACUGUUAAAGUGUGGAUCCCUGUAUAGCAAAAUGAGUAAAGAAUAGAAACAAAAGAGGAAAUACCCAAAUUUCCAAUUUUCUGUAUACAAGGGUUUAGCUUAAUAUUGAUAAGACUGUCUGCUUGAUAAGUUUAUAAAAUAUGUAUUCACUACUGAGAUUAAAUUUUCUGUCAACUUCUGCUAUGUAAUUCACAGCCAGUGGGAGGAAUUUAAUCCUAGAAAUGAAGAAAAAGUGAGAGAAGACAUGGUGUCAUGAUCCUAUCCACAGUGUAUUUGUAAUCCAAAGGUAUAUACCCUGGCAAUUAUUUCUAGUAGAUUGUUACUGUAGCAGAGAACAGAUGUGGGAUCACACACAGAAAUCACUACCUCUUUAGUGUACUUUCUUGCCACCCUGACAUUUGAUAGCCUUUUGUUAUAGUGACUAUCCAUUAUUUUGUAUAAAAUGGCUUGAGGGGAUUACUGAUGAUAACCCUAAAUUUUAGAAUGUAGGAAAGACCAAAGAUGAGUUUGAAAUUUCUAUUAGGAGACCAAGCAUACAUUUGAUAUACACUAUAGAGUUAGGCAAUACAGUUUACUAUUUGGAUAUUUAUCUUCUUUGGUAUGAAAUUUCUGCCACUGUACAAGAGUUCCAGAAAUGAAGGGAAACAGGAUAUAUAGUUCUCACUAAAAUAUAUUUAUUUUUAAGCCAGGCAAUACUGGCAUAUUUACAGAAUGGAAGCGACCCUGAAAAAUAAUUGCAUCUAUUACAGGUUGUAAAGAAAAGCCAGGACUCCACUGUCCACUGAACAUGCUAAUUGAAUCCGACCUUGCAAAAAGAUGAAGCAAAGAAUGUUUUCUCUAAUUGCAAAGGUCUCUGGCUGGGUACAUAUUCCUAUUUAUCACUUCACACUUGGGUAAUCCAUGGUGUUUCAUACAGAUCCUCUUUCUUAGGAAAAAGAUUCUUAAUUUGCAAAAUAAGCCUAUUGCUUUUUUUAUUGAUGCCUCAUAGAGUGUUUUGGCAUGAACCCUUGGGGAACAAAGUUCCAAUUUAUUUUAAGGGGAUUUUUAAAAUUUCUAGGUUAUGGAUAACCUCUUUGAAAAAGUUUUAGAGCCAGUAAUAAACUUUUUAAGUACUUUCCCAGAUUACAUAUAGUUGGAAAAAGUGUAUCCCUUUUAGGCUCACAGUCACUUUCUUAUGAUUUGUCUCUGGUGACAGAUGUGUAGAUGGAUAAAUUCCUACUAUAAAGAGUCAAAGUUGGAGGAUGGUGAUGCCACACUGGACGUCAUACAUGCUAUAAGCAAAGCAAUUAUUGUUAUGAAUAUAGCCAAAAUGUACUAUAACUUUUUAUUAGAUACAUAAAAAAAUAUUCACAAUUUCUGUUUGGGGGUAUUUGUAUCUAGUCCGAUAUAUGGGAUUUCUGAGUCACUGGGAAGGACAGGGCUUAGAUAAAAUACCAGUAAGCCCUCGGCAGAAGAAAGACUUACUAACAAAUCCAGUGAAUAGACCAUGAUAAUGAUCAGGAACACUCUGCAGCAAAAUGACCACAGCCACUGGAACUGAUGAGACUGAGAUGCUGAAUUAAUUCCAGGACUGGCUCCUUGAGAUAGCAAGUAAGGUUGUACAAAGUGCUUUUGGGGAUUUUGAGGGUGAGUAUCAUUAUGGUUAUUUUACUUACAAUCUGAUAAUUAAAGGACAUGCUAUCAGCUACCUUUCUUUAUCCUCAAUUAAACUUUCACCUAAAAGGCAGUGAUCAGAAUAUGAGUGAAGAGGCAAGACUCUAACAUAACAUGAAUUUAUUAGACAUAGAAUGAGAGCAUGAGCCAAAGGAGUAUAAUAUAUCUCCAAGGAAUAUAACUGAGUAUCUUGUUUGUAUCCUAUUCUAAUAGGAAGCCUCUGGCAAAUGGUAUAAUUAGGUCUUUAUUAGGAAUGUGUAAAGACUAAUGCAUUUAAAAAUUGAGAUUAAAAAGACAAUGAGUGUUUUGCUUUUUGUAUGCCUUGGCUCUGGAAGAUAAUUUUAUAUAUCAAUGAAUCUAGAAAAUAAAACAAUAUCAGAUUUCCAUAGACUUAAAAGCCUGGUAGCAGUAUAUUCCGGAAAGUACUUGUACACCCAGGCCUGUAAGUGAAGUUAACUGUGUAUCAUGUAACCUGAACAUAACUUAUAUAACACAGAUACAAUUAAAUCAUACACAAUUUCUCUAGAGUCAUAUGAAGUCACCAAUAAGCUACAAGUCUUUUUCCAGCUAUCUUGCUUUUAAUUUUCAGAAAGUUGUACUUAGUUGAACAGAAAGGUAAUAUGUUCAUAACUUAGUUUAGUGUACAUGAAGAAAUAACCGAAUAAGAUUUGUAUGGUGACAUUAUUUUUCUAUCCAGGACUUAAAUAUAAAUCAUAAGGAUAGGAAAAUGAUGUUUUGGAACUAUUAAGUACAUUUUGUGGAUGACCCAACAUCUCAAUUAUGUGUAUAUAUACACACAGAGAGGGAAACACAUCUGUGAUAUACAUACAGGGAUGUGGUAUUUCACUUCAUGUAAUUGUAAAUGGCACAAAAUUAAAGAUAUGUCAUAUGUUAUCAUAAUAUGAUAGAGGAAUCAUUAUCCAGAAAUACUGCCUUGUUAAGACAUAUCUCUUUGUCAUCUUUGUUAUAUGCAUCAUCUUUUGAGACUGCUUUUCCUAACUUUUAAUACUUACCUGUUUUCCUCUAGUUUAAGUAUGUUUCCUUUGUGUCACUCACUGCAACUACUCAAAGAUCACUAAAAUAUAGUAACUUUGAGAAUUAACAUCCAAGAAUUACACAAAAUGUUUUUAGAUGGAAUUUGUAUUUAUACAUACAAAGCAAGAGUGCCUCUUCAGCAUCUAGAAACUUCAUUUAUAAAUAAGGCAUUUAUUUAAUAGAUAUUUAUUGUGUACAGUCUAUAAGCCAAGCACUGUUCUAUAUUAUUUGGAUAUAUUGGUAGAAAAAAUCCAAACAAAAUCCCUGCCUUUACAGAGUUUAUGAUCCCAGUGGUGGACCUAGACAAUAUAAACAGAUAUAAUAAGUAAAAGACUUAGUAUGAUAGAAGCUCGUAAAUGUUAUGAGGAAAAUCUACUCAGGUAAGUAGAAUAGGGUAUAUAAGUGGAAGCAAAAGGAAGAUAUGAUUUUAAAUAGGGAGAUUAGAGUCAGCCUCAAUGAAAAAGCAACAGUUAAGCCAGAACAUGAAGGAAUUGAUGGUGUUUGCUACAUCAUUAUCUGGGGGAACUAUGUUCUGAUGUGAAGCUCUACACUAUUAGAGUGCUUGAUGUGAUCAACUAAUGGUAAGGAGCUCAGUGCACCUGCAAGAUAAGGGCUAGAAGAAAAGUAGGAGAUGGUGGCAGCAAAAUAACAGGGGCCUAAAUUAUAUAAAGUCCUAUAGGCAUGUGGGGACUUUGGCUUGUAUUAAGAUUGAAAUGGAGAGACAUACUGGAUUUUGAACAGGUAAGUAACAUAAGCAUUCACUUGUAUAAAGGAUGACUCUGGUUAUUGUGUAGAGUAGUGUAAAAUCAGGGAAACCACUUAAAACCUAUUUCAAUAAUGCCAGUGAAAGGUGAUCAUCAUUGGACCUUGUUGGCUACAGUGAAAAUGGUAAAAAUUGGUCAGAAUCU
rnacentral:lncRNA from 1 species